UACGUAGGUGGCAAGCGUUGUCCGGAUUUACUGGGCGUAAAGAGCGCGCAGGCGGUCGUUCAAGUCGCGUGUGAAAGCCCCCGGCUCAACUGGGGAGGGUCACGCGAUACUGAUCGACUCGAAGGCAGGAGAGGGAAGUGGAAUUCCCGGUGUAGUGGUGAAAUGCGUAGAUAUCGGGAGGAACACCAGUGGCGAAGGCGACUUCCUGGCUGUUCUUGACGCUGAGGCGCGAAAGCUAGGGGAGCGAACAGGA
rnacentral:rRNA from 1 species